rnacentral:tRNA from 1 species
AGAUCAGGUAGAGGACGGCGAGCACCCCGGCCACCCGAGCCGGAAGGUCCGCGCGUGACGGCACGCGAUAGGGGAUCCUCGCCGCCUUGAUCUUC